GAUGAAGCUCUAGCUUGCUAGAGUGGAUUAGUGGCGCACGGGUGAGUAAUGUAUAGCUAAUGUGCCCCUUUAGAGGGGGAUAACAGUUGGAAACGACUGCUAAUACCCCAUACUCCUUCUUCCUAUAAGGGAAGUUGGGAAAGUUUUUUCGCUAAGGGAUCGGGCUAUAUGGUAUCAGCUUGUUGGUGAGGUAAUGGCUCACCAAGGCUAUGACGCCUAUCUGGUCUGAGAGGAUGAUCAGACACACUGGAACUGAGACACGGUCCAGACUCCUACGGGAGGCAGCAGUGGGGAAUAUUACACAAUGGAGGAAACUCUGAUGUAGCAACGCCGCGUGGAGGAUGACACAUUUCGGUGCGUAAACUCCUUUUAUAUGGGAAGAUAAUGACGGUACCAUAUGAAUAAGCACCGGCUAACUCCGUGCCAGCAGCCGCGGUAAUACGGAGGGUGCAAGCGUUACUCGGAAUCACUGGGCGUAAAGCGCGCGCAGGCGGCUCCUUAAGUUGGAUGUGAAAUCCUAUGGCUCAACCAUAGAACUGCAUCCGAAACUGAGGAGCUAGAGUCUGGGAGGGGAAGAUGGAAUUAGUGGUGUAGGGGUAAAAUCCGUAGAGAUCACUAGGAAUACCAAAAGCGAAGGCGAUCUUCUGGAACAGUACUGACGCUGAGGCGCGAAAGCGUGGGGAGCAAACAGGACUAGAUACCCUGGUAGUCCACGCCCUAAACUAUGAAUGUUAGUCGUCGGGGGGCUCGUCCUUUCGGUGAUGCAGCUAACGCAUUAAACAUCCGCC
rnacentral:rRNA from 1 species